ACUCCUACGGGAGGCAGCAGUGGGGAAUCUUGGACAAUGGGGCGAAACCCUGAUCCAGCCAUGCCGCGUGAGUGAUGAAGGCCUUAGGUCGUAAAGCUCUUUCGCCAGGGAUGAUAAUGACAGUACCUGGUAAAGAAACCCCGGCUAACUCCGUGCCAGCAGCCGCGGUAAUACGGAGGGGGUUAGCGUUGUUCGGAAUUACUGGGGCGUAAAGCGCGCGUAGGCGGACCAGAAAGUUGGGGGUGAAAUCCCCGGGGCUCAACCCCGGAACUGCCUCCAAAACUCCUGGUCUUGAGUUCGAGAGAGGUGAGUGGAAUUCCGAGUGUAGAGGUGAAAUUCGUAGAUAUUCGGAGGAACACCAGUGGCGAAGGCGGCUCACUGGCUCGAUACUGACGCUGAGGUGCGAAAGUGUGGGGAGCAAAACAGGAUUAGAUACCCUGGUAGGAUAGCG
rnacentral:rRNA from 1 species